CAGGGCACAACAGUCACCACCUGACACCGUGGUGCCCAUGCCCUUGAGCCUGGGAGCAGAGGGCGGCAGUGUUGCAGGGCAGAGUGGAGAGCAGGAGAGGACAACUCAAAGACAGAAGUCUGAAGAAUGUCAGGAUGCCUGUCCUUCCCCAUGCAUGAAUCCCAACUGGGCCUCUGAGUGCAGGGCUGUCUGUGACCCAGCCCACAACACUGGCUCUUCCGUGUCACCCAAGUGGGUGCAGGAUGGGUGCCCAGGAACCUCCCUUAGGAACUUCAAUCCCCGUGGCAGAGAUGCCUGAGAUCUAGAGAGUAAACUCCAAAGAGGCUCCCAAGUCACCCUCUGAGGACGGCAGUCUCCCCACUUUGUGGAAGUGUUUACAAGGCACUGCGACUUGGCAGAAACUCGUCAGAUGAAAAACCACAGCCUUGUUAUGGGACAUUAAUCACCCACAAUGGACAAUGUCUCUUCUGCUGUGUGUUUGUGUGGCACCACUUUUCUCCUUCCGAGAAACACUUUCCACAGAUGUAGCCUUUGCUUCUGAACAGAUCCUGAUUGUUGAAAACAGAAAAGGCCAUGUCGAGCAAUUGGUUCAUAGAUGUCUGCAGUCCCAUCUGAAGUUUCUUCAUUAAACAGAUGGGACAGACCGAAAGCACCUGAGAAACAGGUGGGAAUCCAAGGACAGGAUCAUCAAAGAUACUGCUCUCUUCCUCAGGAGCCCUUCUAAAUACCAUAGAUUCUGGGUUUUUCCUGGGAUGAACAGUUAUAAAAGCAUGAACAUAAGGGAUUUACUCCACCUUCUAUGUUUUAAGCAGAAACAAUUUAAAUGCAAAAUAGUGUCAUAAUUUAAACUGCCAUCUCUUGCCAUUUCCUAGUUCACACUGAACCCAAAUUGUUUUGUAAUAAUAGAUACAUUGAUCCUUUUUCAAAUUGGCAAGAUCAACCCUUUUCCACUGAUCAAGGAUAUGGCUUUGCAGUGAAGUUGGUGAAUCUGCAGGGCGAGGUUCAUGAGGUUUCCCAUGCCUCAUCUUGGGGCCUAUAAAGAGAGGCAACUAGGUCUCAGGUCCUGAAGGUGAUAUUCCAUGCAGAAGAAAGAGACCUAGCUGGGUGUGAUGGCACAUGCCUGUAAUCCCAGCACUUGGGAGGCUGAGG